rnacentral:rRNA from 1 species
UCAUUUAGAGGAAGUAAAAGUCGUAACAAGGUCUCCGUUGGUGAACCAGCGGAGGGAUCAUUACCGAG